AUACGUAGGGUGCGAGCGUUAAUCGGAAUUACUGGGCGUAAAGCGUGCGCAGGCGGUUUUGUAAGACAGGCGUGAAAUCCCCGGGCUCAACCUGGGAAUGGCGCUUGUGACUGCAAGGCUAGAGUGCGUCAGAGGGGGGUAGAAUUCCACGUGUAGCAGUGAAAUGCGUAGAGAUGUUGAGGAAUACCGAUGGCGAAGGCAGCCCCCUGGGACGAGACUGACGCUCAUGCACGAAAGCGUGGGGAGCAAACAGGAUUAGAAACCCUAGUAGUCC
rnacentral:rRNA from 1 species